rnacentral:rRNA from 1 species
AUUGAACGCUGGCGGCAUGCUUUACACAUGCAAGUCGAACGGUAACAGGGUGCUUGCACCGCUGACGAGUGGCGAACGGGUGAGUAAUGCGUCGGAACGUGCCGAGUAGUGGGGGAUAACGCAGCGAAAGUUGUGCUAAUACCGCAUACGUACUGAGGUAGAAAGUGGGGGACCUUCGGGCCUCACGCUAUUCGAGCGGCCGACGUCUGAUUAGCUAGUAGGUGAGGUAAAGGCUCACCUAGGCGACGAUCAGUAGCGGGUCUGAGAGGAUGAUCCGCCGCACUGGGACUGAGACACGGCCCAGGCGCCUCCGGGAGGCAGCAGUGGGGAAGUUUGGACAAUGGGCGAAAGCCUGAUCCAGCCAUGCCGCGUGUCUGAAGAAGGCCUUCGGGUUGUAAAGGACUUUUGUCAGGGAGGAAAUCCCUAGUGCUAAUAACACUGGGGGAUGACAGUACCUGAAGAAUAAGCACCGGCUAACUACGUGCCAGCCGCCGCGGUAA